CCAACUUCUUCCUCUCUCCGUCCAUGAGCUUCUUCCUCUCUCCGUCCACGAGCUUCUUCCGCCGCUGCCGUCAUUGCUCGCAUCGCAGAUCUCUCUCUGUCAUCCCUUGUGAUGCACGAGCCCCCUCCUUGUGAUUCUGUUGCUUAGGUUUCUAUCACAUGCUGGUAUCUCGAAACCGAUGGUGAUUGAUGUAUUAGUUAGCCUCUUCUGUUGUUCUAUUAUAUCUGCAGAGACGUUGUGGGAUGGUGGUUGACUUCUAUGCCAGUUGCUUCCUUACAGUGAGUUAGAGUUCAACAGCAACCACCUUAAGAUGGUGUUUUGCUCUUAAUAGGAAGCUUGUAGACAAGAUUGCAGCUUCUAGUUACUAUGUGGUUGUUCCGGACUUCUUUUAUGGUGAACCCUAUGAUCCUCAGAAUACUAAUAGACCUUUAGGAAUUGGGAGUUAGUGAUGGCGUGGGUGUAAAGUCUUUAAUGCAACUUGUGUUAGUGAUUAGAUAAAUAAAAUAAAAUAGAAUAGAAGUUACUCACAUAAAUGUUUGAUAAGCAAUAAGCAAUAAACUACUUCGGACCUGUCUCAGCUACCAAUAAGGUUAGAAAUCAGUAU